rnacentral:rRNA from 1 species
UACGAAGGGGGCUAGCGUUGCUCGGAAUCACUGGGCGUAAAGGGUGCGUAGGCGGGUCUUUAAGUCAGGGGUGAAAUCCUGGAGCUCAACUCCAGAACUGCCUUUGAUACUGAGGAUCUUGAGUCCGGGAGAGGUGAGUGGAACUGCGAGUGUAGAGGUGAAAUUCGUAGAUAUUCGCAAGAACACCAGUGGCGAAGGCGGCUCACUGGCCUGUAACUGACGCUGAGGCGCGAAAGCGUGGGGAGCAAACAGG